rnacentral:rRNA from 1 species
GACGAACGCUGGCGGCGUGCUUAACACAUGCAAGUCGAACGUGAUUUUUAAGGAAAGCCCUUCGGGGUGGGAAUUAAAAUGAAAGUGGCGAACGGGUGAGUAACACGUGAGCAACCUACCUUACACAGGGGGAUAGCCGUUGGAAACGACGAUUAAUACCGCAUGAGACCACAGAAUCGCAUGAUAUAGGGGUCAAAGAUUUAUCGGUGUAAGAAGGGCUCGCGUCUGAUUAGCUAGUUGGAAGGGUAAAGGCCUACCAAGGCGACGAUCAGUAGCCGGUCUGAGAGGAUGAACGGCCACAUUGGAACUGAGACACGGUCCAAACUCCUACGGGAGGCAGCAGUGGGGAAUAUUGCACAAUAGGGGGAACCCUGAUGCAGCGACGCCGCGUGAGCGAAGAAGGUUUUCGAAUCGUAAAGCUCUGUCCUANGAGAAGAUAA